UAAAGUGCGAUAUGUAGUGCGAUUUGCAUGAAUCUGUGAGUCAUCUAAUCUUUGAACGCAACUUGCACCCAGCAAUGGGUAUGUCUGUUUGAGUGCCGUUAAAACCGUAGUGAUAUGCGUGCAUGCGUGUGCGGGUAUGGCUUAUUGACAGUUUGUCGCUCUCACAUUGAUUGACUCUGUCUAAAGAAAGCCAGUGCAAGUGUUGGGUGUGGUAUUGCCCGAGUGCUAAGCAUUCUUGGUCUAGAUCGCGCUCAACACACGAAUCUCCUAUCUUAUAAACUCGGCCUCAAAUCAGUCAAGAUUACCCGCUGAACUUAA
rnacentral:misc_RNA from 1 species